GGGGACGUAGCUCAGCUGGGAGAGCACCUGCCUUGCACGCAGGGGGUCAGGAGUUCGAUCCUCCUCGUCUCCACCA
rnacentral:tRNA from 3 species